rnacentral:rRNA from 1 species
AGCGAACGCUGGCGGCAUGCUUAACACAUGCAAGUCGCACGGGCAGGGGCAACCCUGUCAGUGGCGGACGGGUGAGUAACGCGUAGGGAUCUAUCUCUGGGUGGGGGACAACCGUGGGAAACUACGGCUAAUACCGCAUGACACCUGAGGGUCAAAGGCGCAAGUCGCCUGGAGAGGAGCCUGCGUACGAUUAGCUAGUUGGUGGGGUAAAGGCCUACCAAGGCGACGACGUUAGCUGGUCUGAGAGGAUGAUCAGCCACAUUGGGACUGAGACACGGCCCAAACUCCUACGGGAGGCAGCAGUGGGGAAUAUUGGACAAUGGGCGCAAGCCUGAUCCAGCAAUGCCGCGUGUGUGAAGAAGGUCUUCGGAUUGUAAAGCACUUUCGACGGGGACGAUGAUGACGGUACCCGUAGAAGAAG